UACGUAGGGGGCAAGCGUUGUCCGGAAUUAUUGGGCGUAAAGAGCGUGUAGGCGGCUUUACAGGUCCGUUGUGAAAACUCGAGGCUCAACCUCGAGACGCCGGUGGAAACCGUAAAGCUAGAGUCCGGAAGAGGAGAGUGGAAUUCCUGGUGUAGCGGUGAAAUGCGCAGAUAUCAGGAAGAACACCCGUGGCGAAGGCGGCUCUCUGGGACGGUACUGACGCUGAGACGCGAAAGCGUGGGGAGCGAACAGG
rnacentral:rRNA from 1 species